rnacentral:tRNA from 1 species
UGAGAUGUGGCUCAGUGGAUAGAGUGAUUACCUAACGUAUAUGAGGCUCUGGGUUCAAUCCCCAGCAUCGUAU